rnacentral:rRNA from 1 species
AAAACAUAGCCCUUUGAACAUAUAAAGGGUCCCGCCUGCCCAGUGGCCCAAGGCUAAACGGCCGCGGUAUCUUGACCGUGCAAAGGUAGCAUAAUCAUUUGUCUUUUAAAUGGAGACUUGUAUGAACGGCGAAACCUUCUUAAACUGUCUCCCUCCCUGCCCUUCAAAACUCUUACUUAAGUGAAGAAACUUAACUACACCCGAAAGACGAAAAGACCCUGUCGAGCUUCAGCCAAAAGGUGAACGAAGGUUUAAUCACAAAACCCCCAUCACCAAAAGGCUUUGGUUGGGGCAACCAUGGAGAAGAACUAUCCUCCAGAAUAAGUAGUCGAAACCAAUUCACUACUACAAAUUAAAGAACCAGGAACUGGUAAUCGGAAAAAGUUACCGCAGGGAUAACAGCGUCAUCCCCUUUAAGAGUCCUUAUUGACAAGGGGGUUUGCGACCUCGAUGUUGGAUUGGGGCCUCCCUAGGGUGCAGAAGCUCUAAAAGGUUAGACUGUUCGUCUAUUAAAGCCC